UGCAAGCACCAAAAGUGGGAAUCACUGCUGGUAGAAAGUGCAGGUUUUAUGGGUUUCCCCUUUGCCAUUUUGAUCUAGAUGACAUCAUAAAACGCCACAGGAAAGAGCAAACAGAUGCCAGCGCCGCAGGGGACAGGAGAAGGCAGCAGGUCAAGAACAGGAAUUCGGCAUAUGGGUACGGGCGGCCCCGUUUCCAUGCGUGGAUGCAGAGGAAUUUGCAAGGACCUAACCGCUUUAGAAGAGGGUUUGGACAACAACAAUACAAUCGGAGACAAUUUAGGAAUGGUGUGCCCGGUCCCAGGAGAAGAGCAGCUGCCGCAUUAAAUGGAGUGAGCCCUUUAAAUCGCCAGCCAUCGGCUCAAGAGGGCAACAAGAACAACGAUGCUUUCUCCAAAAGCAGCAGCAGUGGGCAGCCAGAGGGACGGCGACGGCCACCCCCAGGCCCCAAGAGAUUCAGAGCAGCUGCCGCCAGCACCCACACUCCGGGGAGAAGCAGGCCUUUCCUGCUGAACAGGGCACCAGCCUUCCAGCAGAAGCGGAUGCAGCAGCGGUUCUCCAAAGCGAACUUUCAGAGAGGGAUGGAUGCUAACGGAGAAGGGAAACCACCAAGGAUGAGAAGGUGGCAAGUGAAACCCAGCCCUGGAGCAGUUCUGACGGUUUCUGUGGCUAAUCCCCAGGCAGGCCAGACCAGCGCGCCUGGAUCCAAGCGCCCGUUCCUGCGAAGUCAGAGGCCCCCGCUGCGGGCCACCAAGCCCCAGCCCAGGGGGGUGCUGCUGAGAUUCAACUUCCGUGCAAUGGCCAACCAGACCAGCCUGACACUGGAUGAGAGGUUCUCUGGUCUGAGGAAUAAGAGGCGCUUUACAGCAGCCAGGAACGCCGGCCGGACGGUCACCAUGCCUUAGCACCACAUGCUCUUCACAGGGACUGCCCAUAACAGUCCAGGCCCCAUAACGGGCAGCUCAAUAAAACUCGAUAGAUUUCCUCUGAGAUAUAGCUA
rnacentral:lncRNA from 1 species